rnacentral:rRNA from 1 species
CGAUGAUCCCAGCUUGCUGGGGGAUUAGUGGCGAACGGGUGAGUAACACGUGAGUAACCUGCCCUUGACUCUGGGAUAAGCCUGGGAAACUGGGUCUAAUACCGGAUAUGACUCCUCAUCGCAUGGUGGGGGGUGGAAAGCUUUUGUGGUUUUGGAUGGACUCGCGGCCUAUCAGCUUGUUGGUGGGGUAAUGGCCUACCAAGGCGACGACGGGUAGCCGGCCUGAGAGGGUGACCGGCCACACUGGGACUGAGACACGGCCCAGACUCCUACGGGAGGCAGCAGUGGGGAAUAUUGCACAAUGGGCGCAAGCCUGAUGCAGCGACGCCGCGUGAGGGAUGACGGCCUUCGGGUUGUAAACCUCUUUCAGUAGGGAAGAAGCGUAAGUGACGGUACCUGCAGAAGAAGCGCCGGCUAACUACGUGCCAGCAGCCGCGGUAAUACGUAGGGCGCAAGCGUUAUCCGGAAUUAUUGGGCGUAAAGAGCUCGUAGGCGGUUUGUCGCGUCUGCUGUGAAAGACCGGGGCUCAACUCCGGUUCUGCAGUGGGUACGGGCAGACUAGAGUGCAGUAGGGGAGACUGGAAUUCCUGGUGUAGCGGUGAAAUGCGCAGAUAUCAGGAGGAACACCGAUGGCGAAGGCAGGUCUCUGGGCUGUAACUGACGCUGAGGAGCGAAAGCAUGGGGAGCGAACAGGAUUAGAUACCCUGGUAGUCCAUGCCGUAAACGUUGGGCACUAGGUGUGGGGGACAUUCCACGUUUUCCGCGCCGUAGCUAACGCAUUAAGUGCCCCGCCUGGGGAGUACGGCCGCAAGGCUAAAACUCAAAGGAAUUGACGGGGGCCCGCACAAGCGGCGGAGCAUGCGGAUUAAUUCGAUGCAACGCGAAGAACCUUACCAAGGCUUGACAUGAACCGGAAAGACCUGGAAACAGGUGCCCCGCUUGCGGUCGGUUUACAGGUGGUGCAUGGUUGUCGUCAGCUCGUGUC